rnacentral:rRNA from 1 species
GGGGAAUAUUGGACAAUGGGGGCAACCCUGAUCCAGCAAUGCCGCGUGUGUGAAGAAGGUCUUCGGAUUGUAAAGCACUUUCGACGGGGACGAUGAUGACGGUACCCGUAGAAGAAGCCCCGGCUAACUUCGUGCCAGCAGCCGCGGUAAUACGAAGGGGGCUAGCGUUGCUCGGAAUGACUGGGCGUAAAGGGCGUGUAGGCGGUUUACACAGUCAGAUGUGAAAUCCCCGGGCUUAACCUGGGAGCUGCAUUUGAUACGUGUAGACUAGAGUGUGAGAGAGGGUUGUGGAAUUCCCAGUGUAGAGGUGAAAUUCGUAGA